CGGGCCCAUACCCCGACAAUGUUGGUAUAUACCCCUUCCUUUACUA
rnacentral:tRNA from 1 species